rnacentral:rRNA from 1 species
UACGUAGGGUGCAAGCGUUGUCCGGAAUUAUUGGGCGUAAAGAGCUUGUAGGCGGUUUGUCGCGUCUGCUGUGAAAUUUCGGGGCUCAACCCCGAACUUGCAGUGGGUACGGGCAGACUAGAGUGUGGUAGGGGAGACUGGAAUUCCUGGUGUAGCGGUGAAAUGUGCAGAUAUCAGGAGGAACACCGAUGGCGAAGGCAGGUCUCUGGGCCAUAACUGACGCUGAGAAGCGAAAGCAUGGGGAGCGAACAGG